UAAGGGAGCUUGACUGCGAGACCUACAAGUCGAGCAGGGUCGAAAGACGGACUUAGUGAUCCGGUGGUUCCGCAUGGAAGGGCCAUCGCUCAACGGAUAAAAGCUACCCCGGGGAUAACAGGCUUAUCUCCCCCAAGAGUUCACAUCGACGGGGAGGUUUGGCACCUCGAUGUCGGCUCAUCGCAUCCUGGGGCUGUAGUCGGUCCCAAGGGUUGGGCUGUUCGCCCAUUAAAGCGGUACGCGAGCUGGGUUCAGAACGUCGUGAGACAGUUCGGUCCCUAUCCGUCGUGGGCGUAGGAAAUUUGAGAGGAGCUGUCCUUAGUACGAGAGGACCGGGAUGGACAUACCUCUGGUGUACCAGUUGUCGUGCCAACGGCAUAGCUGGGUAGCUAUGUGUGGACGGGAUAAGUGCUGAAAGCAUCUAAGCAUGAAGCCCCCCUCAAGAUGAGAUUUCCCAACUUCGGUUAUAAGAUCCCUCAAAGAUGAUGAGGUUAAUAGGUUCGAGGUGGAAGCAUGGUGACAUGUGGAGCUGACGAAUACUAAUCGAUCAAAGACUUAAUCAA
rnacentral:rRNA from 1 species